rnacentral:rRNA from 1 species
GGAAACAGUUGCUAAAACUGGAUAGGAAAUAAAAAGGCAUCUUUUUAUUUUUAAAAGACCUUUUUCGGAAGGUAUGCUUAAAGAGGGGCUUGCGUCACAUUAGUUAGUUGGCAGGGUAAAGGCCUACCAAGACUAUGAUGUGUAGCUGGACUGAGAGGUUGAACAGCCACAUUGGGACUGAGACACGGCCCAAACUCCUACGGGAGGCAGCAGUAGGGAAUUUUCGGCAAUGGAGGAAACUCUGACCGAGCAACGCCGCGUGAACGAUGAAGUAUUUCGGUAUGUAAAGUUCUUUUAUUGAAGAAGAAAAAAUAGUGGAAAAACUAUCUUGACGAUAUUCAAUGAAUAAGCCCCGGCAAACUAUGUGCCAGCAGCCGCGGUAAUACAUAGGGGGCGAGCGUUAUCCGGAAUUAUUGGGCGUAAAGGGUGCGUAGGCGGUUUAAUAAGUCUAUAGUUUAAUUUCAGUGCUUAACACUGUCCUGCUAUAGAAACUAUUAGACUAGAGUGAGAUAGAGGCAAGUGGAAUUCCAUGUGUAGCGGUAAAAUGCGUAAAUAUAUGGAGGAACACCAGAGGCGUAGGCGGCUUGCUGGGUCUUUACUGACGCUGAGGCACGAAAGCGUGGGGAGCAAACAGGAUUAGAUACCCUGGUAGUCCACGCCGUAAACGAUGAGUACUAAGUGUCGGGAUUACUCGGUACUGAAGUUAACACAUUAAGUACUCCGCCUGAGUAGUACGUACGCAAGUAUGAAACUUAAAGGAAUUGACGGGACUCCGCACAAGCGGUGGAUCAUGUUGUUUAAUUCGAAGAUACACGAAAAACCUUACCAGGUCUUGACAUACUCUGCAAAGCUAUAGCAAUAUAGUGGAGGUUAUCAGGGAUACAGGUGGUGCAUGGUUGUCGUCAGCUCGUGUCGUGAGAUGUUAGGUUAAGUCCUAAAACGAGCGCAACCCUUGUCAUUAGUUGCCAGCAUGUCAUGAUGGGCACUUUAAUGAGACUGCCAAUGAAAAAUUGGAGGAAGGUGAGGAUCACGUCAAAUCAUCAUGCCCCUUAUGAUCUGGGCUACAAACGUGAUACAAUGGCUGUUACAAAGAGUAGCUGAAACGCAAGUUUAUAGCCAAUCUCAUAAAAGCAGUCUCAGUUCGGAUUGAAGUCUGCAACUCGACUUCAUGAAGUUGGAAUCGCUAGUAAUCGCGAAUCAGCAUGUCGCGGUGAAUACGUUCUCGGGGUUUGUACACACCGCCC